rnacentral:rRNA from 1 species
GACGAACGCUGGCGGCGUGCCUAAUACAUGCAAGUAGAACGCUGAGGAGAGGAGCUUGCUCUUCUUGGCUGAGUUGCGAACGGGUGAGUAACGCGUAGGUAACCUGCCUUGUAGCGGGGGAUAACUAUUGGAAACGAUAGCUAAUACCGCAUAACAAUGGAUGACACAUGUCAUUUAUUUGAAAGGGGCAAUUGCUCCACUACAAGAUGGACCUGCGUUGUAUUAGCUAGUAGGUGAGGUAAUGGCUCACCUAGGCGACGAUACAUAGCCGACCUGAGAGGGUGAUCGGCCACACUGGGACUGAGACACGGCCCAGACUCCUGCGGGAGGCAGCAGUAGGGAAUCUUCGGCAAUGGGGGCAACCCUGACCGAGCAACGCCGCGUGAGUGAAGAAGGUUGUCGGAUCGGAAAGCUCUGUUGUAAGUCAAGAACGGGUGUGAGAGUGGAAAGUUCACACUGUGACGGUAGCUUACCAGAAAGGGACGGCUAACUACGUG